GCGAUUCAAAAAGCCAGCCUGAAUUUUCAUGGCCAUGGGACAAAGAACCCCGUCUUUAGCUGAAUUAAGGAAAAGUUCUGCAACAUUUUUGACGUGCAACUUGGGGGCUCAAGCGGAGAAGCGUUCUGGACCUGUGCCAGCCACAUAGAAACUGCUUAAUAAUUAUUUGUUGAAGAAUGUUCUAAAUGAAUAAUCCGCAGCAAAGCCCUGAGAAAAGCAGAGCCCCUGGAAAACUCACAUAUGUGUCAACAAUAGUCCUUGAUGCCCCUGUAACAAAACUUGAGCAAGGCCUGGUGAUGAAGAGAUACAAGAUUGUCACCCAAGGAUUUGAUUAUACCUCUGUUGAAAGUUAAUGCACACUCAACCGAAUAUGGCAAUUGGUACUCUCAAUUCUAUAUUCUCAACAAUUACAGUGAAGAUACAAGUAGAAUACAAUCACUGCCACAUUUUUUGAAAUUCUGUGUAAACUGUAAUAUUCUGUCAACAUUAAUGACAUUUGAAGUGUCCUGUCAAAACAAUUGCAGCUACUUUAUGUAUAAAACAUAUUAAAUAGGCUCAUCCAACUUGCAUUCUUUAUUAAGCUUAUUUUCAUAUUUUUUCCUAUGGAUGAACUUAAAAAUAAUUUUGUUUCUUAAUUAAGAUUCUAUGCAUGAAGAUGCUGAAUAAUUUAAGACAAUUGUUCAUUCAAAUAGUUGCUAAUUACACCCUCCUGGCAUAGUUAUUGUAUUAUUACUACAUUUAGGAAUAAUAUGCUGUACUACUUGGACUUGAAAAUGUUUCUGACAUUUUAAUGAACACACUACUUAGUUAUAUUUUACAAGGGUUUUCAGUGAACCACAGAGGAUUAAAAAAUGUCAUUCAAGGGUUGUAGAUAAUUAAACUGACUGAAUAUAAGAAGCCUCAUAUGGAAGUGAAAAUUAUGUAUGAAUUUUGUUGAGCUGGAAAUGUGUUUUACUAAAUGACUUCAGAUUUGUUACUUUUAAAUACAAGAUGAAGGGAAUCAAGGGGAUACUUUCUUCUCACCUCAAUUUGUUCCAUUUGCAUAAGCUAUUUUAUCUUUCAAUAUCCCUUUUGAUAUUUCAUUUUGGCCCUUGAAUACACUAAAGAUUAUUUAAAAUAAAUAAAUGUUGACUUUGAAAUAC
ensembl:lncRNA LINC01036 long intergenic non-protein coding RNA 1036